GAGAAGGUGAACUACUAAGUCCAAUGUAGUAUGACUCCGACGACAGACAUCUUCAAUGGCCACAGAAAUGCGAUGAGGAAACUGUGUCUCAGAAGUAAGACAAUGCAUCCAAGAUGACAGACCUUAUGAGUGCAGGCCUGGAAUUUAAACCCAGGUUAGAAGGACGUGGAAAGAAUACUACCUGCAAGCCGACGAGAGAGGCCUGGAGCAGAUCCUUCCUUCACGGCACUCGGAAGAUGCCAAGCCUGCCAUCUUGAUUUUAGACUUCCAGCCUCCAGAACUGAGAGACAACACGUUGUUUCUGUUGUUUGAGCCACACAGUUGGUAGAACUGUUAAAGUAGCUCCAGGAAACUAAUUCAGUGACUAAUGUUUUUGAACAGUCUUUGUGCAUUUUAAAUAAACAUAUUUAAUAUAUUACA
rnacentral:lncRNA from 1 species